AAGGACAACAGAUUAGAUUCCUACCCUUAAAAACAAGCGCCGUUCUCCUCUUCUUCUUGCUCACUUCUAACAGAGACAGAGAAAUGGUGGAGACCCUUCCCCCAUUUUAAAAACACUAAGUCACCUCUUCUUCUCUCUUCUUCAUCCUCUCUAAAAACCCUUUCCUCCACCCAAAGACCAUUAUAAACCCCCAUUAGAACUAGCUCUCUCACACCACAAAACCAAUCCAAAACAAGCUCGGAUUAACCCCAAAAAUGACCUCAGAACAGCUCCAAUAAUGAGCUAAAAACUGUCCCAAAACCAGUGUUAAACCACCACCAAAUCAGCUCCAAAACCCCCCAUUAAAACCAGCUCAAAUGAAGUUCCAAACAUAGCUAGAACAUACCUGAAACCAAGCUCAAAAUUAACCUCAAAUCAGCCCCAAAAUGGUUGUGUUAUUGCUGGAAAAUCAGCAACGGAACAACCUUGAAACCAAGCUAGCUUAAGAUUCUACUCUCUUGCUCUAUUUUUUUUUUGGAAAUUCAAGUGCGAACAAGUUUGAGAAGUGCAAUUUGCUGCUGUUGAUCGCUGAAAUUUUUGCUGAGCCUCGAUCGAGUUUGUCUCGGCUUUUAGUCAGUUUAUUCGAGUUUUCUUGUUCAACCAGGUUAGUACGAAGAUUCUAUGUAUUAUGCUUUUAGUAAAUGAUUAAACAAUUGAGUUCAUGCUUAAACUUGAAGAUCCUCUCGAUUCCUGAUUUUUUUUAUUAUCAUGUGUAGUGGAUGUUUGCAUAAUAGUUAAUUUUAGUUAGAUAGUAUUUUAAGUCUAGUAUUUGAUAAUUUUGCUGUGACAGUGAUGAGUUAUGUGUUACUUCAGUUGGAACUGGGCUUGUGAGAAUAUUUGUUUUCCAGUUUUGUUUAAACUCGCAAGAAUUAGUUCUAGAGAUUUGAACUUCUGCUGUAUUUUUGUUCUUUUUCUUUUGUUUGUUUGGGCCUGAUAAGUAUUCGGCUCAGCUGAAGUAGUAGGUGGCAGAAGAGUUCAUGUGAACUCCGAAAUGAGCUUUCUAGCCAUUUUCAAAAGCAUCUCAAGACUAGGUAAUAAGCCCGUGAAGUUUAGUUUGAAAUUUGUUUGGGCCAAUUUGACUCAGCAGAUUCAUUUUGAAUGAGGGCUUAACGCUCAAUUUUAUUUUCUAAAGUCAAGGUUUCUUUUAAUCACAGUAUUCCUUUCAUUCUUAAUCAAUUAUCUCUACCUUUUGUUAGAUUAACCAACCAUUCGGAAGAUUAGGAGUUAACCCAACAAUGAAUUAUCCUUCGCAAACAGAGCUUUGAUUCAUCUAUUAAACAAUUAGGAUUACUUCUUUAAGCUCAUGAUAGUUCCUAUAAUCAUACCUUGUACUAAGCUUGAAACAAAUACAAUUUAGGAAACUAGCUAACCUAAUAUUCAUGAACACCGUAGUUUGCUUUAGGGGUGAUUAAUUUUAAAUCAUCACGGCUAUGGGUACGUUUCCUGUGGCAUAGUCGUGAUACAUAAUUCCCAAAUUCGGGUAUGCAUUUCAUGUGAUCCAAUCAUAACAACUUCGAAUAAUAUUAACAAAAAUAAAUAUAUCGCGAAUCGCGGGUGCAUUUCAUGUAACGCGGUUUGCGGUGUGUUCCAAAACGACAAAUGUACAACAAUCGUAACUUGUUCAAGAAAUAAUUCCAUAAAUCCUAAAAGCGGUAAAAAUAAUUAAAAAGCGGUUAUAAAGUUAAAAAUGCAGAAUAGGUUUAAAACAUGCAAUUAAUCAAAUAAUAGGCCAAUUUUAAUAGUUUAAGCGACCGUGCUCGAACCAUGGAACCCGGGAAUGCCUAACACCUUCUCCCGGGUUAACAGAAUUCCGUAUCUAGAGUUUCUGGUUCGCACACUUUUAAAUAAAGUCAUAAAUUUCUUCGACUUGGGAUUUUAAAAUGAACUGGUGACUUGGGACACCCAAAUAAAUUAUCUCAAGUGGCGACUCUAAAAUAAAUAAGUAAUCCCAUUUCGAAUAAUAUCACUUUAAUUAGAAAAACUCCCUUAUGUCUGCCUUCGGGUGGUAAAAAGGAGGUGUGACAAUAGCCUACGCGUCGAGACAACUCAAGGCUCACAAGAAGAUUAUCCAACUCAUGAUCUUGAAUUAGCAGCUGUGGUGUUUGCGCUUAAGAUCUGGCGCCAUUAUUUAUAUGGGGUACAUGUUAACAUUUUUACAGAUCACAAGAGUCUCCAGUACAUCUUCAAGCAAAGAGAAUUAAAUCUACAUCAGAGAAGGUCGCUCGAAUUAUUUAAAGAUUAUGAUGUUGAUAUCCUCUAUCAUUCGAGGAAGCAAAUGUUGUAGCCAAUGCUCUCAGUCGGCGUUCUAUGGGAAGCUUAGCUCAUGUUAAGGCAGACAAGCAAACUAUGAUGAAGGAAGUCCACCGCUUAGCAAGUCUAGGAGUUCGACUUUUGGACUCCAAAGAUGGUGGUGUUGUUCUCCAGAAUAGGGCUGAAUCCUCCUUAGCAGCCGAAGUAAAGGAAAAAUAGUUCAAUGGUCCCUACUUAUUGCAGCUGAAGGAGAGAAUUCACAAACACAAGACUAUGGCUUUUAAAAAAGGGGGAGGUGAUGGUACUCUGAGGUACAGAGGCAGACUAUGCGUUCCAGACGUAGAUGGGCUCAGAGAGCAGAUUAUGUCAGAAGCCCACAAUUCCAGGUAUUCUAUUCACCCAGGUUCCACAAAGAUGUAUCAUGAUCUUAAGGAGGUUUAUUGGUGGAACGAUAUGAAAAAGAAUAUAGUAGAUUUCGUAGCUAAGUGUCCAAAUUGUCAACAGGUGAAAGUCGAACACCAGAAACCUGGCGGUUUAACUUAGAAUAUAGAAAUUCCCAUCUGGAAAUGGGAGAUGAUAAACAUGGACUUCAUAACAGGUAUACCUCGCUCGUUCCAGAAGCAUGAUUCGAUUUGGGUAAUUGUAGACAGACUUACCAAGUCAGCUCACUUCUUGCCAGUGAAUACUACAGAUUAUGCCGAGGAUUAUGCCAAGUUGUAUAUCAAAGAAAUUGUCCGAUUGCAUGGGACUCCUUUGUCCAUUAUCUCAUAUCGUUGUGCUCAGUUCAUAGCAAACUUUUGGAAAUCCUUUCAGAAGGGAUUGGGCACAAGGGUGAACCUCAGCACCGCUUUUCAUCCUCAGAUAGAUGGCCAGGCGGAAAGCACUAUUCAGACUCUUGAGGAUAUGUUGAGGGCUUGUGUUAUUGAUUUUAAAGGUAAUUGGGACGAUCAUCUACCUCUCAUUGAGUUUGCUUAUAAUAACAACUAUCACUCUAGUAUUAAGAUGGCACCGUACGAAGCUCUGUAUGGGCGAAGGUGUAGAUCACCAAUUGGUUGGUUCGAAGUCGGAGAAGCGGAGUUUUUAGGACCUAAUUUGGUCUAUUAGGCUAUGGAGAAAGUCAACUUGAUACAAAGGCAUUUGAAGACGUCUCAAAGUCGCCAAAAGUCCUAUUCGGACGUGCGGCGUAGAGACUUAGAGUUCCAAGUUGAUGAUUGGGUGUUUCUGAAAGUAUCGCCCAUGAAAGGUGUUAUGAGAUUUGGGAAGAAGGGGAAGCUUAGUCCCGGCUAUAUUGGUCCAUAUAGAAUAUGGCGAAGGAUCAGACAAGUGGUUUAUGAGUUAGAAUUGCCACAAGAACUAGCUGCUGUACACCCAGUGUUUUAUGUGUCCAUGUUGAAGAAAUUCAUGGGAGUCCCGUCACUUGUGGUUCCUACAGAGAUUAUAGGGGUUAAAGACAACCCGUCUUACGAAGAAAUUUCAGUGGCUAUUCUUGAUCGUCAAAUCCGCAAGCUUAGAACUAAGGAAAUUGCUUCAGUAAAAGUGCUUUAGAGAAAUCAAAAGGUUGAAGAGGCUACAUGGGAAGCCGAGGAGGACAUGAAGUCCAUAUAUCCCCAUCUCUUUGAAGAGCAAAAGAAAAAUGUAGAAGGUAAUUAACCUUUCCAUUCAGGUCUUAUAUUAUAAUCUCCAUGUCCUUCACUAUUUACGCAGCUUAGUAUUUAGUGAUCACGUGCUCGUUCAGUAUGAUAUACGUGUAUUCAUGAUAUUUCAGUUGCAUAUCUCUAUCACACCCGUUCAAUGUCCAUAUAUAGUCGUAGUUGCAGCCAGGACAAUCAUUCGAGGACGUAUGAUCCCAAGUGGGAGAUAAUGUAAUACCCCGUAAAUUUGAAUCAGUUGUGGAUGUAUUAAAUAAGUAUUAAUACGAUUGUUAUCAAUUGGUUAUGAUAAUAAGUGUACGAGGCAUAUCAUAAGUGAUUUGGGGUCCAAGGAGAGGCCUAAGUCUAAGUCAAGUUUGAAAAUUUUAUGAUAGACUAAAAUUCCAAAUGAGCACGCACAGGACAAAACUUUUCACGAGCAUAUCUACAUUUAUAUAAGGUGUUAUAUGAUGCACAACAUAUGAAAUGAAAUAUAUUUGAGUCUAGUUUCCAACGCUUCAAAUCGUUCGUCAUUUGGACACUCCUAUCAGAAGUUAUGACCAAAUUACCAAAAGCUCACAGAAUUUUACACUAUCACGCCGCCACAUGCGUCGCCCCAUGCGGCGUGGCUGUGUAGAUUAACAAAGCACCUCCAAAUUUCGUUUCUAGACACAUUUUUCAUUACCGCGCUGCCCCAUGCGCCGCGGCUGUGCAAAUCUUCAUUUUUUUUUCAACCCAACCUUAUUUUGAUAUAAAACCUUGGGGGGGGGGGGGGGGUUAUUUUUUCCACUUCAUUUGGACGAAUUUUAGCGUUUUCCUCCACUCUCUCAAGACCUCCAACACCUCCCAUCUUCAAGGUAAGCAAUCCCCAUUAUCUUGGUGUGAAUUCCAUUAUUUAUACACGAGUAUUGAUGAAAUCUACACAUAAAAUACUUAGAUCUUCAAGGGAUUUNNNNNNNNNNNNNNNNNNNNNNNNNCUUCAAGAACUCAAAGGAGGGUUUUGCAAGAUUUCUUCCAAAAAGGUAAUCCUACACCCUUAGACUUAGAUGUAUGGAUUUAUUAAGGGAAUAUGAGUAUGAAUAAGUAUUGGAACUCUUGGUAUGGUGAUUGAAAACCAUAAGUUCCCAAUUUGAUUACACAACUAUUAUAGAGAUUGAAAGAUGUUUAUUUAGUGGAACUUUGUUGGUUGGGUAUGGAUGGAUGGUCAUAUAUGUGAUUUUGGAAGUUAUAAAUUGGUUAAUCAUGAUGGUGGGAAAAGUUUUUGAUGAAUGGUGAUAGUUAGAUGAACUAAUUAUAUGGUGAUGAGAUGUAGAGAUUUAUGCCUACAAGGUGUUUGAUAAUUUACCUAAAUGGCUUAAGUUAUGGAAUUUGUUACUAAUAUUGGGUUCCAUUGGAUGUUGCUAUUGUAGAUUGAAAGUUCUUAGUAUUGUGGAUCAUUGUAGUAUCACUAAGGGGCAAAAUUAAGGUAUGUAAGGCUAACUCUUUACGUUUGGGAAUGUGUAUGAUUCUCCCUAUGUUCCAUUCAUAUGACCAAUACCAGUUUCCUCAGAAAGUAACUAUGCCUUAGUUCCCUGAAUAGUAGUAGAACUUCUAUUCUCUAGAUGACAUAGUUUCAUAAUUAUUCGAUAUUCUAUGAGUUUCAGUUAUGACAAAUCAACUUAUUAUGAAUGUUCAUCUCGGUCUAAUCAUAUUCACUAUUCCAUUCAUGUAACUAGGUAUGGCUCAUUGUUUCAGUAUCAUGUAUUGCAGUAUAAUUCUCAAUUCCUGAUUCUAAAUUCCUGAAUGUUGAACACCUGUAUUUGGGCCUGAGGCCGUAGUUUAUGCUUUAUGCAUGUUUGGGCCUGAGGUUGUAGUUUAUGCUUUGUACAUUUUUGGGCUUGAGACCGUAGCUUGUGCACACAUAUAUAUUAGGCCCGAGGUCGUAGUUUAUCAGUUAAAUGAGUUGUUCAUCGUUCAGAAGAGGGAGUAUUCAUAUCCUUACUUUUAUGUUCAGUUAUCAGUUUAUCAGCUAGCAGUUCAGUUUCAGUAUCAGUUCAGUUAUCAGUUAUCAUUUCAGUUUCAAUAGUUAUCAUUUAAGUUAUCAAUUAUCAAUUCUCAGUUAUCAGUUUGGUUUCAGUUUCAGCAUUUUUAAUUCUUUCUUUCAGUUGCUUUACAUACCAGCACAAUUCAAAUGUAAUGACGUCCCUUUUUGCCUGGGGCCUGCAUCUCGCGAUGCAGGUAAUGAUUUUCAGGUUGACGAUUCUGCUUGCUAGGACAUCUCGUAUCAGCCAUUGGUGACCCAGUCUUUCGGGGACCUUAUCUCUCUUUUGUUUUAGUCAUUAUAGUAUUUCAGUUAAUAAGGUAUACCGGGGACCUUAUCCCGGUAAACAAUUAACAUUUUCAGUAUUCUUUAGAGGCUUCGUAGACUAUAACCCAGUCAGUCAGAUAUUAGCAGGCUUUCAUGUGUUAGCCUUGUCGGCUACUUGUUUAUACUUGCAGGCCUUUCAGUAUUUUCCGCAUCUAUGAUAUUUCAGUCAAACUCUUUAGUAGAUUAUCAUGUUUUAUAUUUACCUCUAGUUCAUAGUUAUAGAACAUGUUGAUCCAGCCAUACAGUUGGUUCGCUCGGUCACAUGCAGUCAGGCACCGAGUGUUGUGUGACGCCCAGACCAUGGUUCGGGGAGUGAUAGCUGGGAUGUGUGGCCGCACUUGGAAUAGUGAGGACCGCACAUAGUGAGUUCAGAGAAUGUACUAUAUAACUGAGGCUUAAGUUAUUACUUCAUUUUUUGGACCUUGGGAGCUCGGUUUGAAAUGAUUUUUCGUGGGUUUUUCAAGAAAUUUAUCGGGGUAAGUAAUUCUAACUAGGAUUUGGUUAAUAUACAUGAAUAUAUCACUGAUUCCAUCAUUUAAUUAGUACUUUCAGAUGAAAAUUUAGAAAAAAUUAUAGAAACUUCAUAAACCACAAAUUGAGGUUUGAAGGUCAAGUUGUGAUCGGAAUUGGCUAAUUUUGGUAUGGUUGGACUCGUGAGAGAAUUGGUGUUCAUAUUUUGUGAAUUUUACUCGAUUUCGAGACGUGGGCCCCGGGAGGCUUUUUGAGCGAUUUUUACAAUUUCUUGCUUUGGCUUUGAUUUCAUUAGCUAGAUUAGUUCCCUGUAGUUAUAUUUAUGCUAUGUAAUUGAUUUUGGCUAGAUUUGGGUCAUUCAGAGUCGGAUAUUUGUGGAAAGAGCAUUGUGACUGAUUGAUUGAGCUUAGUUCGAGGUAAGUGGCUUGCCUAACCUUGUGUGAGAGAACUCCGCUUAAGAUUUGGUACUAUUUUUUGAUAUGUUAGCGCCGUGUACGUGAGGUGACGAGUACGUACAUGGGCUAAUUGUUGUAAAAAAAACAAUUUUCACUGAAUAAUAAUCUGUUCUUCUUCUUAUUUGAGUUAUAUCAGCAUGUGUAGUAUCCUGUUAGCUUAGAAUAGCAUGUCUACUUGCCUUAAUUGCUUAUCUGAACUCUGUACAACAUGUUUAGUGAAAUUCUUGUUUCUCCUUGACUUGUGUUUAGUCUAAACUGUAGGUUCUCUUACUGUAACUGUUAUUUCUGUUGUUUGAGCUGCAUAUUUACUUUGGGACUACGGAACGGUAUUCCGGUAGAUCCCCCCUGUUCUGCAUAUUUACUUUGGAACUACGGAGCGAUAUUUCAGUAGAUCCUCCUCAUGUUCUGCAUAUUUACUUUGGGACUACAGAACGGUAUUCUGGUAGAUCCCCUUGCACAUUUAUGUUUGGGACUACGAGACGGUAUCUCGGGAGAUCCCCUAUUAUUAUCACUGUAUUAUGAGCUAUUUUCUUUCAUUUAUUCUAUCUUCGUUAGAUUUUCGUAUCUAUUUUUACUACGAUAUUUCAUUCUAUCUUAUUUUAUUAUAUUUAUACCAGUAGGGCCCGGAUCUUAUCUCGUCACUACUCGACCGGGGUUAGGCUUGGCAUUUACUGGGUACUGUUGUGGUGUACUCAUGUCCUUUCCUGCAUAUAUUUUUCGUGUGCAGAUCCAGGUUCAUUUUACCAGCCUCAUCACUAGUUGCAGUCGCUGCUGCUUAUUGGAGACUUCAAGGUACAUCUGCCCGCACUCACAGAUCCUCGGAGUCCCCCUCUAUUCCAUUAUGUUCAUCUUUCCUUCUUUCUGUAGAGAUGAUGUAUAGAAUAGUUAAGACUUCCUAGUAGAUUGUGACUUACAGUAUUUCGGGUUUUGAAAAAUUAUUUGGUACAUUUCAGAAGUGAUAAUUGUAUAUGCCGAGUG
rnacentral:lncRNA from 1 species